rnacentral:rRNA from 1 species
CGCUGGCGGCGUGCUUAACACAUGCAAGUCGAACGGAAAGGCCCUGCUUUUGUGGGGUGCUCGAGUGGCGAACGGGUGAGUAACACGUGAGUAACCUGCCCUUGACUUUGGGAUAACUUCAGGAAACUGGGGCUAAUACCGGAUAGGAGCUCCUGCUGCAUGGUGGGGGUUGGAAAGUUUCGGCGGUUGGGGAUGGACUCGCGGCUUAUCAGCUUGUUGGUGGGGUAGUGGCUUACCAAGGCUUUGACGGGUAGCCGGCCUGAGAGGGUGACCGGCCACAUUGGGACUGAGAUACGGCCCAGACUCCUACGGGAGGCAGCAGUGGGGAAUAUUGCACAAUGGGCGGAAGCCUGAUGCAGCAACGCCGCGUGCGGGAUGACGGCCUUCGGGUUGUAAACCGCUUUCGCCUGUGACGAAGCGUGAGUGACGGUAAUGGGUAAAGAAGCACCGGCUAACUACGUGCCAGCAGCCGCGGUGAUACGUAGGGUGCGAGCGUUGUCCGGAUUUAUUGGGCGUAAAGGGCUCGUAGGUGGUUGAUCGCGUCGGAAGUGUAAUCUUGGGGCUUAACCCUGAGCGUGCUUUCGAUACGGGUUGACUUGAGGAAGGUAGGGGAGAAUGGAAUUCCUGGUGGAGCGGUGGAAUGCGCAGAUAUCAGGAGGAACACCAGUGGCGAAGGCGGUUCUCUGGGCCUUUCCUGACGCUGAGGAGCGAAAGCGUGGGGAGCGAACAGGCUUAGAUACCCUGGUAGUCCACGCUGUAAACGGUGGGUACUAGGUGUGGGGUCCAUUCCACGGGUUCCGUGCCGUAGCUAACGCUUUAAGUACCCCGCCUGGGGAGUACGGCCGCAAGGCUAAAACUCAAAGGAAUUGACGGGGCCCCGCACAAGCGGCGGAGCAUGCGGAUUAAUUCGAUGCAACGCGUAGAACCUUACCUGGGUUUGACAUGGAUCGGGAGUGCUCAGAGAUGGGUGUGCCUCUUUUGGGGUCGGUUCACAGGUGGUGCAUGCCUGUCGUCAGCUCGUGUCGUGAGAUGUUGGGUUAAGUCCCACAACGAGCGCAACCCUUGUUCACUGUUGCCAGCACGUUAUGGUGGGGACUCAGUGGAGACCGCCGGGGUCAACUCGGAGGAAGGUGGGGAUGACGUCAAGUCCUCAUGCCCCUUAUGUCCAGGGCUUCACGCAUGCUACAAUGGCUGGUACAGAGAGUGGCGAGCCUGUGAGGGUGAGCGAAUCUCGGAAAGCCGGUCUCAGUUCGGAUUGGGGUCUGCAACUCGACCUCAUGAAGUCGGAGUCGCUAGUAAUCGCAGAUCAGCAACGCUGCGGUGAAUACGUUCCCGGGGCUUGUACACACCGCCCGUCAAGUCAUGAAAGUUGGUAACACCCGAAGCCGGUGGCCUAACCGUUGUGGGGGAGCCGUCGAAGGUGGGACUGGUGAUUAGGAC